rnacentral:rRNA from 1 species
UACGGAAGGCAGCAGUGGGGAAUAUUGCACAAUGGGCGCAAGCCUGAUGCAGCCAUGCCGCGUGUAUGAAGAAGGCCUUCGGGUUGUAAAGUACUUUCAGUCGUGAGGAAGGUGUUAAGGUUAAUAACCUUAGCAAUUGACGUUAGCGACAGAAGAAGCACCGGCUAACUCCGUGCCAGCAGCCGCGGUAAUACGGAGGGUGCGAGCGUUAAUCGGAAUUACUGGGCGUAAAGGGCACGCAGGCGGUUAAUAAGUUGGAUGUGAAUCCCCGGGCUUAACCUGGGAAUGGCAUUCAAGACUGGUUAGCUAGAGUCUUGUAGAGGGGGUAGAAUUCCAUGUGUAGCGGUGAAAUGCGUAGAGAUGUGGAGGAAUACCGGUGGCGAAGGCGGCCCCUGGGACAAAGACUGACGCUCAUGUGCGAAAGCGUGGGGAGCAAACAGGGAUUAGAUACC